UUCUUCGAAAAAAAAAUUUAUAGAAUAUCUAAAUAUCAGUGUUAAAGCAGUAAUCUUUUUAACACGAAACGAUAAUGUAAACGUUAACAAAUAAUGUUAAAUGUUAACAGAUAAUGUUAAACCUUAAAAUUGAAGUAUGCCGUCAAAUCAUACGAAACGGAAUGAAAUUGCAUUUGUUGAGCCUCUCGGAUUUUUAUGAAGCUUCAAACUCAAUAUUAUUGAAGGCAGCCAGAACAGUGGCAAUCUAAAUGUUUUAGAAUAUGCAAGGCCCAGAAAUAGAAUAUCCAAGAGAAAAAAACAGCAUUUUCUGCAUCUGCACAAAAAGCGCUUUUUUAUCGAAUAUUAACGGGAGAUGAGGAAUGGUACGUCAAUGUGAAGCAAAGAAAGGAGUGGGUGACCGCAGGAGAGAACCCGAAACCAAGAGUCAAGUUUUCACCUAAAAAAGUCACGAUCUGGGUUUGGUGGGACUAAGAAGGCAUGGUGCACCGGGAAAUGCUCGAUCGAAAAGCCACUGUCAACAAGGAGCUCUACAUUGCCCAUCUGAAUUGUGCACAUGACGUUAUUCGGCUGAGUCAUCUUGCUCCAUGACGACGCAAUGCGCCAUUUUGCCCACCAAGUCGUCAAAACAGCACUACAAGAGCUCGAAGUGGAGGUUCUUCCGCAUCCACUCUACUCUCGGGAUCUUGCCCCUACCGAUUCUCAACUUUUCCGCUCCCUGUAAAAUCACAUGAGGGGUGUUACCUUGAAUGGCGAAGAGGACCUUCAAAUCUGGCUCAACAACUUCUUCGGCAACAAAUCGGGCGAUUUUUGGCAAAACGGUAUUCACAAAUUGGUGGAGAGGUGUAGGAGGUCGCAAACAGUAACGUAGAAUCCAUCAUUGUUUAAUUUAUUAUUAUAAUUAUUGCUUUUUUCAAAUAAAUCUCUGUGAAAAAACUCUAGGAACUUAUGUUAGAACCCAAAAUAUUUGGGUAUGUAUGCGCGGAUUUAUUUGCUUGCACACUUUGAACGUUGUGGUCAAUGGUGUCGGUAAUUGUCGGCCGGUGAAACUCAUACUUACAUACAUAUAUCAUUAUAACCAUGUACAAGUUAUGCACCUAAAUGUGAGCGAAUACAUUUGCC